AGCAGCCGCGGUAAUUCCAGCUCCAAUAGCGUAUAUUAAAGUUGUUGCAGUUAAAAAGCUCGUAGUUGAAUUUCGGGGUCAGUAGAUUGGUCAUGCCACUGGUAUGUACUGGUCUCACUGAUUCCUCCUUCCUGAUGAGCCGUAAUGCCAUUAAUUUGGUGUUGCGAGGAAUCUGGACUGUUACUUUGAAAAAAUUAGAGUGUUUAAAGCAGGCUAACGCUUGAAUACAUUAGCAUGGAAUAAUGAAAUAGGACGUCCGAUCUUAUUUUGUUGGUUUCUAAGAUUGACGUAAUGAUUAAUAGGGAUAGUUGGGGGCAUUAGUAUUCAAUUGUCAGAGGUGAAAUUCUUGGAUUUAUUGAAGACUAACUACUGCGAAAGCAUUUGCCAAGGAUGUUUUCAUUAAUCAAGAACGAAAGUUAGGGGAUCGAAGACGAUCAGAUACCGUCGUAG
rnacentral:rRNA from 1 species